rnacentral:rRNA from 1 species
ACGCUUUUUCUUUCACCGGAGCUUGCUCCAUCGAAAGAAAAAGAGUGGCGAACGGGUGAGUAACACGUGGGUAACCUGCCCAUCAGAAGGGGAUAACACUUGGAAACAGGUGCUAAUACCGUAUAACACUAUUUUCCGCAUGGAAGAAAGUUGAAAGGCGCUUUUGCGUCACUGAUGGAUGGACCCGCGGUGCAUUAGCUAGUUGGUGAGGUAACGGCUCACCAAGGCAACGAUGCAUAGCCGACCUGAGAGGGUGAUCGGCCACACUGGGACUGAGACACGGCCCAGACUCCUACGGGAGGCAGCAGUAGGGAAUCUUCGGCAAUGGACGAAAGUCUGACCGAGCAACGCCGCGUGAGUGAAGAAGGUUUUCGGAUCGUAAAACUCUGUUGUUAGAGAAGAACAAGGAUGAGAGUAAAAUGUUCAUCCCUUGACGGUAUCUAACCAGAAAGCCACGGCUAACUACGUGCCAGCAGCCGCGGUAAUACGUAGGUGGCAAGCGUUGUCCGGAUUUAUUGGGCGUAAAGCGAGCGCAGGCGGUUUCUUAAGUCUGAUGUGAAAGCCCCCGGCUCAACCGGGGAGGGUCAUUGGAAACUGGGAGACUUGAGUGCAGAAGAGGAGAGUGGAAUUCCAUGUGUAGCGGUGAAAUGUGUAGAUAUAUGGAGGAACACCAGUGGCGAAGGCGGCUCUCUGGUCUGUAACUGACGCUGAGGCUCGAAAGCGUGGGGAGCGAACAG